UACGGGGGGGGCAAGCGUUGUCCGGAAUUAUUGGGCGUAAAGAGCUCGUAGGCGGUUUGUCGCGUCUGCUGUGAAAACCCGAGGCUCAACCUCGGGCCUGCAGUGGGUACGGGCAGACUAGAGUGCGGUAGGGGAGAUUGGAAUUCCUGGUGUAGCGGUGGAAUGCGCAGAUAUCAGGAGGAACACCGGUGGCGAAGGCGGGUCUCUGGGCCGUAACUGACGCUGAGGAGCGAAAGCGUGGGGAGCGAACAGG
rnacentral:rRNA from 1 species